GACGAACGCUGGCGGCGUGCUUAACACAUGCAAGUCGAACGGAAAGGCCCUGCUUUUGUGGGGUGCUCGAGUGGCGAACGGGUGAGUAACACGUGAGUAACCUGCCCUUGACUUUGGGAUAACUUCAGGAAACUGGGGCUAAUACCGGAUAGGAGCUCCUGCUGCAUGGUGGGGGUUGGAAAGUUUCGGCGGUUGGGGAUGGACUCGCGGCUUAUCAGCUUGUUGGUGGGGUAGUGGCUUACCAAGGCUUUGACGGGUAGCCGGCCUGAGAGGGUGACCGGCCAAAUUGGGAUUGAACUACGGCCCAGACUCCUCCGGGAGGCAGCAGAGGGGAAUAUUGCACAAUGGGCGGAAGCAUGAUGCAGCAACGCCGCGUGCGGGAUGACGGCCUUCGGGUUGUAAACCGCUUUCGCCUGUGACGAAGCGUGAGUGACGGUAAUGGGUAAAGAAGCACCGGCUAACUACGUG
rnacentral:rRNA from 1 species